UACGGAGGGUGCAAGCGUUAUCCGGAUUCAUUGGGCGUAAAGGGUGCGUAGGUGGCGCCGUAAGUCGGGUGUGAAAUUUCGGAGCUUAACUCCGAAACUGCAUUCGAUACUGCGGUGCUCGAGGACUGGAGAGGAGACUGGAAUUCAUGGUGUAGCAGUGAAAUGCGUAGAGAUCAUGAGGAAGACCAGUGGCGAAGGCGGGUCUCUGGACAGUUCCUGACACUGAGACACGAAGGCCAGGGGAGCAAACGGG
rnacentral:rRNA from 1 species